UGGGGAAUAUUGGACAAUGGGGGCAACCCUGAUCCAGCAAUGCCGCGUGUGUGAAGAAGGUCUUCGGAUUGUAAAGCACUUUCGACGGGGACGAUGAUGACGGUACCCGUAGAAGAAGCCCCGGCUAACUUCGUGCCAGCAGCCGCGGUAAUACGAAGGGGGCUAGCGUUGCUCGGAAUGACUGGGCGUAAAGGGCGUGUAGGCGGUUUACACAGUCAGAUGUGAAAUCCCCGGGCUUAACCUGGGAGCUGCAUUUGAUACGUGUAGACUAGAGUGUGAGAGAGGGUUGUGGAAUUCCCAGUGUAGAGGUGAAAUUCGUAGAUAUUGGGAAGAACACCGGUGGCGAAGGCGGCAACCUGGCUCAUGACUGACGCUGAGGCGCGAAAGCGUGGGGAGCAAACAGGAUUAGAUACCCUGGUAGUCCACGCUGUAAACGAUGUGUGCUAGAUGUUGGGUAACUUUGUUAUUCAGUGUCGCAGUUAACGCGUUA
rnacentral:rRNA from 1 species